GGAACGUGUCGGCGGGUAAUUCGGUAAAUGCCGCGAUGGUAAAUGUCAUAAAGACAUCGAGUCCGAGAUUGUUUACGUUUCUAACGUGACCGUCGAAUACCAGCGAUAUCGCCAUCCUGCGUUAUAAAAUAUAUUAGAGAUUGAAGAAAUAUUUCCAUCGAUAAUACUCACCAGAUGAGAAUGAGGAGGAUCGUAAUGUUUCGCAAGCGUGGACUCUUAAAUAAAUCCACCACAGAAUAA